rnacentral:rRNA from 1 species
CGAACGUUUGCGGCGGGCUUAACACAUGCAAGUCGAACGAGAAUCCCUUCGGGGAGGAAAGUGGCGCACGGGUGCGUAACACGUGGAUAACCAACCCAUUGGUUUGGGACAACACCGGGAAACUGGUGCUAAUACCAGAUGUGUCGCAGCUGUCUUCAGGCGGUUGCGAGAAAGGCCCGCAAGGGUCGCCAACGGACGGGUCCGCGUCCCAUCAGCUAGUUGGUGAGGUAAGAGCUCACCAAGGCUAAGACGGGUAGCUGGUCUGAGAGGAUGAUCAGCCACACUGGAACUGAGACACGGUCCAGACUCCUACGGGAGGCAGCAGUGGGGAAUAUUGCGCAAUGGGCGAAAGCCUGACGCAGCCACGCCGCGUGAGCGAUGAAGGCCUUCGGGUCGUAAAGCUCUGUGGGGAGAGACGAAGAAAGCCUGUGAAGAGCAGGCCUUGACGGUAUCUCCUUAGCAAGCACCGGCUAACUCCGUG